rnacentral:ncRNA from 1 species
UGAAUGAUAUAAAAACUCCUCGUUUAUACCCAGCAUAUAGUAUUGUACAAAUGUUUCAUGGCACAACAGUCCGAAGCGAUUCUGACGUGCAAAUUGAUCGUUGACUUUGAUAUAGGGGCGAAAGACUAAUCGAACUAUCUAGUAGUUGGUUCCCUCUGAAGUUUCCUUCAGGAUAGCUGAAGUACGUAAUGAAGCUGUUAUAUUCGGUAAAGCGAAUGAUCAGAGGAAUUGUGGGGAGAAACGUCUUCAACCCAUUCUCAAACUUUCGAUGAGUAUGACGUCUUGCUUGCUUGAAUGAAGC